AAUGAACGUUGGCGGCGUGGAUUAGGCAUGCAAGUCGAGCGAGAACCGUAGCAAUACGGGGACAGCGGCGAAAGGGAGAGUAACGCGUGGAUACCAACCCCCGGGACUGGGAUAGCUACGGGAAACUGUAGGUAAUACCAGAUAACGUCUCCGGACCAAAGGUGUGAUUCCGCCUGGGGACGGGUCCGCGUUCUAUUAGCUAGUUGGCAGGGUAACGGCCUACCAAGGCAAAGAUGGAUACGGGGUGUGAGAGCAUGCCCCCGCUCACUGGGACUGAGAUACUGCCCAGACACCUACGGGUGGCUG
rnacentral:rRNA from 1 species